rnacentral:rRNA from 1 species
GAUGAACGCUGGCGGCGUGCCUAAUACAUGCAAGUCGAGCGAACAGAUGAGAAGCUUGCUUCUCUGAUGUUAGCGGCGGACGGGUGAGUAACACGUGGGUAACCUACCUAUAAGACUGGGAUAACUCCGGGAAACCGGGGCUAAUACCGGAUAAUAUUUUGAACCGCAUGGUUCAAUAGUGAAAGACGGUUUCGGCUGUCACUUAUAGAUGGACCCGCGCCGUAUUAGCUAGUUGGUAAGGUAACGGCUUACCAAGGCGACGAUACGUAGCCGAGCUGAGAGGGUGAUCGGCCACACUGGAACUGAGACACGGUCCAGACUCCUACGGGAGGCAGCAGUAGGGAAUCUUCCGCAAUGGGCGAAAGCCUGACGGAGCAACGCCGCGUGAGUGACGAACGUCUUCGGAUCGUAAAACUCUGUUAUAAGAGAAGAACAAAUUGUAGAGUAACUGCUACAGUCUUGACGGUAUCUUAUCAGAAAGCCACGGCUAACUACGUGCCAGCAGCCGCCGUAA